rnacentral:rRNA from 1 species
UACAGGGGGGGGCAAGCGUUGUUCGGAAUUACUGGGCGUAAAGGGCCAGUAGGCGGCCAACUAAGUCACACGUGAAAUCCCCAGGCUUAACCUGGGAACUGCGUGUGAUACUGGAUGGCUUGAAUUCGGGAGAGGGAUGCAGAAUUCCAGGUGUAGCGGUGAAAUGCGUAGAUAUCUGGAGGAACACCGGUGGCGAAGGCGGCAUCCUGGACCGACAUUGACGCUGAGGCGCGAAAGCCAGGGGAGCAAACGGGG